AAGAAAAUGAAAGAAAUUGGAAACCCAUUUGGUGCUUAGGGUUUAAAGUGAGAACCCACUCAUUUCAGCCCAUUUCUUCAUCAUUUCUCAUUAUAUUUUCAGAGCAUUUCGAGAGAGGGAGUGAAAGAAGAGGAAGAAGAAGUUGCUGCAGGUUGGAGGUUGAAGAAGGGAGGAAAAGCUCAUGCAAGUGCAACCAUGGAAGAAUUUGGGUUCAACCUACCUAUCUCUGGAUUUUAAGUCGGUUUGAGCUACACAAGAAGAACUAAGAGAUGAGAUCUGACUUUCUUUAAAGUUAAUCUAUUUUCUAACAAAUUUUAUGAAGGAAUCUUGAGCUAAUUUUGAUGUUAAGUUAAUGAUUUUUGAAAAGGAAAACAGCGCACAGAAUUUUCGUGUAAAUCAGAAGGAUCUCUCAUUUUCUCUGGUUUUUCGAACAUUCUGGGGUGUACAGGUUGGAUUAGAAGCUUAAUUUGGUAUGGUUGGAAAGCUUAUUCAAUUUUCUAUAAUUUUCAUGAAGAAUUCGUAGUAAAAAAUUACUAGAAAUAGGUUUAAUUUCAGAAGAAAAGUAGAGGGUAGCAGAGAAGCACGAAUCUAUAUUCAUUGUGUUUGAGGGAUUUCUGGACAAAUUCAUUGAGAAUCUCGUUUUUAUUCCUUAAGGUAAUUUGUAGAGGGUUCAAAAAUUAAGAGUUUGAUAUAUAUUACAUUAAUUUUGGUCAAGUAUUGAGGAUGUUAUGAGUGUUAGAAAUUAGAGUAUUGAAUCUGGAAAAUCUAGAAAGAAAAUGUGAAAUGUGAUUUUAUUUCUAGAAUUUAGAAUUCAUGAGCAUGGAAAGACAAGACGAUUCAUAGUUCUGAUGCUCGGUUUUGGUUGUUUGACAGGCCAAGAGGAAAUAGGUCGAGUCUACAGAUCAGGGAACUAGCCAAGACUAUGAGUGACAAAACAAAUUUAAAAAAUGAUUUCUAAACUGUAAUUUAUGCUUAAAUGGAUUACAUGCUUGAAUAUGAACUUAUGAAUGAUACAUGAUUUCUAUGAAUAGUUUCAAGCAUAAGUUUUAAGCUUAGAUUUUCUAAUGAGGUUUAUAUAUGAGCACGUGAUUAUUGACUUCCUGAAACGUAGUUGAAAUGAUACCAUUUACGGUAAAGUAUGUAUUAGCGAGUACUGUUUAAAGAUUUUCAAUUUUUCAUGAGUAAACCGAGUAAGCUUGAGUUUUACGAAAGAUAAAGAUAAACAGACAUGUUUUAAUGUUUCAUGUGGUUUUCUGACCCUUUUAUUGACUACAUGAUUGAGAUAAUGAACCCGAGGCUAUAUGGUACCUGUGUGCACACAGGUUAUAUUCCAUUGUUGAUGUUGAGUGUACUCCGUGACAAUGAUGCUGUCGGGAGUGCUGAGUAGGCCCCACUACAUUGUAGAGCUAGUAAACGUUGGUUGUACUGGGCGAGCCCUACAUAACGUUGAUUUUUCAUGUAGAGAUCGAGCUCCCGAUGCCUGAUAACUGCCAAAGUCUAUUUUCUCCUAAAAGCUUCCAGAUCAAGCUUCAUACAUGGGUGGAGUUGUACAUUGUGUCUGUUUAUAUUGAGUCAUGCCACCACGUACCAGCAAACGAUGCAGGCAGAAUCAGGAUGGGACGCAGGAUCCUACCCAAGGUCAAUUUGAAAGGGGAACCAGUACCCCGAGAGUUCAGACUGGAGCAGGAAACGAGCAGUUUUUUAGAUCUACAUAGGAGGUAGGUAGGCCAGAGAGAGCAAGGCCUAAUGAUCCGGAAAAGAUGUAUGGAAUAGAACUGCUGAAGAAAUUAGAAGCCACAGUGUUUGAGGGUUCCACAUAUCCAGCUGAUGCUGAGGUUUGGUUAAAUAUGCUUGAGAAAUGCUUCGAUGUGAUGAGCUAUCCUGAGGAACAAAAAGUCAGAUUGGCCACAUUCCUACUACAGAAGGUGGCAGAGGGAUGGUGGAAAUCCAUAUUGGCCAGGCGCAGUGAUGCACGUACGUUAGACUGGCAGACUUUCAGAGGUAUAUUCGAAGACAAGUAUUAUCCCAGCACAUGUUGUGAGGCAAAGAGAGAUGAGUUCCUGGGGCUGAAGCAAGGGUCACUUUCAGUGGCUGAGUACGAGAGAAAGUAUACCGAGCUUUCACGGUAUGCUGAUGUGAUUGUGGCAUCUGAGAGUGACAGGCGUCAAAGGUUUGAAAGAGGGUUGCGUUUUGAGGUACGUACCCCGUUACAGCUAUUGCUAAGUGGACGGAUUUUUCUCAGUUAGUAGAGACUGCCCUACGUGUGGAGCAGAGUAUAACAGAGGAGAAGUCAGUAGUGGAGC